rnacentral:lncRNA from 1 species
CGAUUACUUCAGCGAGGCCUCUUAGAUCUCUGUCUUGCUCAAUUUCUUCCUGAAGCAACCCUCGUGAGUGACCGAAGCCAUGGGUAAAUGAAGCCAGGGUGAAAGCCAUUGCUUACACUCGAGAGAGAUUCGAAGGAUCUCACUACAAGCAUACUUGGGAAAUCACACAAUCAAUAUCCCCUGACCUUAACUUGGCGCCAUUAUCGCAAGAUCACCUAGGCACCCGAAGAGCCUACAUCCGCCUCCGGAGCACUCGGCCCGCAUGCCGCCAGCACAUGCACCAACACUCUGCUUCCACCACCCUUCCAGACGCUUGGCGCCUGCUCGAAAGCCACAUGACCAAAUACCGACGCUGAGCUUUACACCACAUUGCACAUCUGUAAACACCCCUUGACGCUGCGUUCCCCUGCCGAUCGUGCCCCUCAGAGGGCCUUCUACAGCUAGCGACGUCCCGCAAAACAACCCUUUUGUGCGCGUUGUUGUAAGACGUCCGGCUCCAUUCAUGCUGCAACGCAGGGUUGGUCAGAUAAUGACGCUGGCUAAUGGGACGGAGGUCCCCAACCGGCCCCGUGGAAAGUGCCAUGCCAGCGACGGCGGCGGCCGACAAAGUUGGGUCACGUCGCCAUGGCGUCGGCCGCGUCGCCGCACCUUCCAAUCGGCCCGCCGCCGCUGCCAGAAGCGACUGGCGGCGGCUCCAGAACCAACUGCCGCAGCUCCGGUAGAACAGUUGCCUGUCGUGCACACACAUACACACACUCGCGCGUGCCAUAAUUCAAGCUGUGAAAAACCCAAGAGGACAACUCGCAAGGCUUAAAAACAGCAACAAACAGACACACGUCGUAUCGGUCGUAUGCAAGUACGCAUGAAACCCCCCAAACGCUGCCCCUCAACAUGGGGCCACGCAGCCCACUUGGGGAAUUAAGGCUGAGAACAUUACGCCAGUCAAGGGAGCUGCGGCGGGCGAGGGUGUAGCGUUACGACAAGUCUCAGGGUGGCGGGUUUUUCGGACCUUAAUAGAGGAUCUAUUUCACUUUUGUAAUAAUCGCCGGUGGCGCCUUCCGCUGCCGAAACGGCGGAAACGGUCACCAGUGAUUGAAGCCAAGCCAAAGCAAUUAAAUGACGGCAGUAGCAACAGGAUUAAGUAAGGUAGGAAAGAAAAGGAGAAGAAAGACGCAGCGGCCUGGAACACACGCCUUAGAUUCAGCAGUCACCCACUUGUGGAUGGUCCAGCUGCUUGAGCUGCGAAACCAAAACCGAUACUUGCUGGUAGAGCCGUUCCAAGGGGGAGGUGGCGGGAAGGCCGCGGCAUGCCAACAUGGCGCCAUUUAACUCCUCCGCUAGCGCAAUCUGUCCACACAGCAUCAGGAGUAGCA